GUCCACGCCCUAAACGAUGUCAACUAGGUGUUGGGAAAGGAGACUUUCUUAGUACCGCAGCUAACGCGUGAAGUUGACCGCCUGGGGAGUACGGUCGCAAGAUUAAAACUCAAAGGAAUUGACGGGGACCCGCACAAGCGGUGGAUGAUGUGGAUUAAUUCGAUGCAACGCGAAAACCUUACCUACCCUUGACAUGCCAGGAAUCCUUGAGAGAUUAGGGAGUGCCCGAAAGGGAGCCUGGACACAGGUGCUGCAUGGCUGUCGU
rnacentral:rRNA from 1 species